rnacentral:rRNA from 1 species
CUUAGAGUUUGAUCCUGGCUCAGGAUGAACGCUGGCGGUAUGCUUAACACAUGCAAGUCGAACGGUGUCUUCGGACAUAGUGGCGGACGGGUGAGUAACGCGUGAGAAUCUAGCUUCAGGUCUGGGACAACCACUGGAAACGGUGGCUAAUACCGGAUGUGCCGGAAGGUGAAAGGCUUGCUGCCUGAAGAUGAGCUCGCGUCCGAUUAGCUAGUAGGUGGGGUAAGAGCCUACCUAGGCGACGAUCGGUAGCUGGUCUGAGAGGAUGACCAGCCACACUGGGACUGAGACACGGCCCAGACUCCUACGGGAGGCAGCAGUGGGGAAUUUUCCGCAAUGGGCGAAAGCCUGACGGAGCGAUACCGCGUGAGGGAGGAAGGCUCUUGGGUUGUAAACCUCUUUUCUCAGGGAAGAACACAAUGACGGUACCUGAGGAAUCAGCAUCGGCUAACUCCGUGCCAGCAGCCGCGGUAAUACGGAGGAUGCAAGCGUUAUCCGGAAUGAUUGGGCGUAAAGCGUCCGCAGGUGGCUGUGUAAGUCUGCUGUCAAAGAGCAAAGCUCAACUUUGUAAAGGCAGUGGAAACUACACGGCUAGAGUGCGUUCGGGGCAGAGGGAAUUCCUGGUGUAGCGGUGAAAUGCGUAGAGAUCAGGAAGAACACCGGUGGCGAAGGCGCUCUGCUAGGCCGCAACUGACACUGAGGGACGAAAGCUAGGGGAGCGAAUGGGAUUAGAUACCCCAGUAGUCCUAGCUGUAAACGAUG